AUUGAACGCUGGCGGCAUGCUUUACACAUGCAAGUCGAACGGUAACAGGGAGCUUGCUCCGCUGACGAGUGGCGAACGGGUGAGUAAUGCAUCGGAACGUACCCAGUCGUGGGGGAUAACGUAGCGAAAGUUACGCUAAUACCGCAUACGUCCUGAGGGAGAAAGCGGGGGACCGUAAGGCCUCGCGCGAUUGGAGCGGCCGAUGUCGGAUUAGCUAGUUGGUGGGGUAAAGGCCCACCAAGGCGACGAUCCGUAGCGGGUCUGAGAGGAUGAUCCGCCACACUGGGACUGAGACACGGCCCAGACUCCUACGGGAGGCAGCAGUGGGGAAUUUUGGACAAUGGGGGCAACCCUGAUCCAGCCAUGCCGCGUGAGUGAAGAAGGCCUUCGGGUUGUAAAGCUCUGUCUGGAGGGACGAACAAAAUAGACGGUACCUCCGGAGGAAGCCACGGCUAACUACGUG
rnacentral:rRNA from 1 species